AGGCGUCGAGUUCGGCGAGGAACGGCCCGCCGCGAUCGAUCGCCGUCUUCAGUGCGGUGACGGCAACGGCUUUCGCCAUCUCGAUAUCGUUCGCAG
rnacentral:sRNA from 1 species